rnacentral:rRNA from 1 species
UACGUAGGGCGCAAGCGUUGUCCGGAAUUAUUGGGCGUAAAGAGCUCGUAGGCGGUCUGUUACGUCCGCUGUGAAAACCCAGGGCUUAACCCUGGGCUUGCAGUGGAUACGGGUAGACUAGAGGCAGGUAGGGGAGAAUGGAAUUCCCGGUGUAGCGGUGAAAUGCGCAGAUAUCGGGAGGAACACCAGUGGCGAAGGCGGCUCACUGGUCCGGUACUGACGCUGAUGUGCGAAAGCGUGGGGAGCAAACAGG